CUGAACCCUUGGCGGGAGCGCCGCCACGCUCCCAAGCGCCGCGCUCUACCGAGUGCGCCACCGGGCCACCCGGGAACUGACAUUUUUGCAUGCUUGUUGCUGGGCAGUCUUCACCCAGGAUGGACAAAGGAAGGAAUUCUUAAAAUAAUGAUCUUGUACAAUGCACCACUGAUCAGUCAUCUCCAGGAACAGCUUCAGAGACUUACGUCAUGCUACCUUAAAAAGAGAAGCACAGAGAGUGAGGGGUCUCAUUCAAGGAUUAUGAAAGGGUAAGGUAAAAAAGUAUAAGCCUUUCUUGGUAGCUUAAUCAAAAGGUGAAUGGAGACCCUAAGAACAUGAGAAAUGCCACACGGGUUGGCCCAGCAGUUCCUCCAGCCCAGAAUUUUGGGUAGUGAUGAAUGUCUUGUGGAAGAAAAUUUCGUCAUCUCAGUCUAGAACUCUGGAGUUUCUGAAGAGCUCUUCCAUUUCUUUCCCAGCCCACUGUGAAUCUACCAUUAGUGAAUUUAAGCAGGAAAGGAGUCUGUUUUUUAACACUUUUUCUCUUCUUGUUUUUUUUGUAUGAAGUUUAGCCAAAGUAGAACUCUCAAAUAAUAAUUAAAGUCAUAGCUUUAUGUUAAAAA